CCUACGUGAAUAUGGUUACCGUAUAAUUCAUCCCUUUUGACCUCUGUGUUUAGGACGACUCAGGGUUAAACUGUCAACCCUGAUGAGAUCAUCCGAAUCGUGCUCAACUCAAUUAGUCCUGUGACUCCUCACUAGGACUAUCCUGGCCAAGGUUUUGCUAAAUUGAAACACGACUGUACACAGCUCCUAAACUGGAGUGAUCAAUCCCAUCUUGACACACGCACCGACAAGUCAAGUACUUGACUACACCCAGCAGCCUUCCGUCACUGAAUUAAAAAUUCAGGUGGUCCAGUGCCUAAGUACAGUGAGUUGCUUGCAAGUCACUGUGGCGGUCUCAGGUCGGAGGGACAUUUAUACCCAUAUCCCAUCGGAGCAAAUCUUGAUAGCAGAAAUAGCUCCGGAGUCGGUCGCGUUCAGUGUAGAUGUACCAUUACAUCUCACCUGUAUGCCAUACCAGUGUCUCCACACUCCUUGGUUAUGAGGACAACCAACCCAUAUGGCAUACAAUGACCUAUGCUCGAUAAACGUUGUCGUCCUUGGUAACAACGUAUCAUUUGGUCGCGAACAGGUUUAAGGACUAAGCGACAAAUCCUCCUUUGUCGAGUCUAAAUAGUCCUAAGGACUUCACCACAACACAGGAGUUCAUUAGAAGAUAAAACAUUUGUGAUGAAAAAAUACCAAAAUAAUUUUUAUUUAUUUAUAAUUCAUGUACUA
rnacentral:lncRNA from 1 species